rnacentral:rRNA from 2 species
UGACCUCAGCUCAAGCAAGAAAACC